GACGAACGCUGGCGGCGUGCUUAACACAUGCAAGUCGAACGGAAAGGCCCUGCUUUUGUGGGGUGCUCGAGUGGCGAACGGGUGAGUAACACGUGAGUAACCUGCCCUUGACUUUGGGAUAACUUCAGGAAACUGGGGCUAAUACCGGAUAGGAGCUCCUGCUGCAUGGUGGGGGUUGGAAAGUUUCGGCGGUUGGGGAUGGACUCGCGGCUUAUCAGCUUGUUGGUGGGGUAGUGGCUUACCAAGGCUUUGACGGGUAGCCGGCCUGAGAGGGUGACCGGCCACAUUGGGACUGAGAUACGGCCCAGACUCCUACGGGAGGCAGCAGUGGGGAAUAUUGCACAAUGGGCGGAAGCCUGAGACGGCAACGCCGCGUGCGGGAUGACGGCCUUCGGGUUGUAAACCGCUUUCGCCUGUGACGAAGCGUGAGUGACGGUAAUGGGUAAAGAAGCACCGGCUAACUACGUG
rnacentral:rRNA from 1 species